UCCCCCCCCCUUAUUUUAUUAGGGCCCCCACCCACCGCGCUGGGGUGGGGGCCAGGGGGGGAGGACAGUAGGUCCCCCCCCUUAUUAUUUUAUUAGGGCCCCCACCCACCGCGCAGGGGUGGGGGCCAGGGGGGGGGAGGACAGU